rnacentral:lncRNA from 1 species
CGCACCGCCUUAAAGGAGCCGCAUACGACCCGCGUUUUCUACCGGAAGCGUUAGCUUAAGCUUGGCGGAUGUGGGCCAUUCGCCUGUUCCUUCUAGGGUACGCUGGAGCGUGUUGCUGGGUCCCUUGCGCCGGUACGGCCCGGGCCGGCGCCCCAGGACAGGCGUCCGCUCCUGGUUCCUCGAGGGCCCACGCCUGACCCCUGCAGGCCAGCGCUCCUGGGCCGCCCCAGCCCGAGGCCAGGUGGCCUCCCUGUCCGCCCGCUCAAACUCGGACUUUAUUCGGGAGAGAAGGCUCGUUCAGAGAGCUGUGCACCCGUGUCCGGGCACGCUGGGAGAGUGGCACCUGUGGAGAAGGGGGCUGCCUGAGGAUAGGAGGGGCGGGGUGGACACGUUCAGUUGCCGAACCCGGCCCUCCAUCACCUAGACUAGCUUUUAAAGCCUCUGGCACCUUGUAACUACCCCUUAGAUGGCGCCAGAUGACUGCGGUCAAAGGGGGAAGGUGACCAGAAUUCCUGCUCCUGGCACCCAGAGGGAUUGUACGUGAAUUCCGGUCCCUUCUGUGAGCCUGCAGGCUGCUCUGCUGUGGGUGAGUGGUGGCACAGCCUUCUCUCCUGGGGUCCUUCUCUGCCUCCCUUUACAAAUGAGGAAGGGGACACCCAGAGAGGAGGCCACGCGGGCGGGAGGAGAGCCUAAGCUGGUCUUCUGCAGCCCCAUGGGUCUUCAAAUCUUAGGGUGGCAUGACCCCACAGCCCCAAGGCUCAACACAGGCCUAGGUAGGGUACUCUACAGCCUUCUGUCUUCCAGUUAAAAGAGCACCAGGCACGCCUGUAAUUCCAGCAGCUGAGGCUGAGGAGGCUGAGGCUGGGAAUCCCAAGUUCAAAGCCAGCCUCAGCAAUUUAGCAAAACUCUGUCUCAAAAUAAAACCUAAAAAGGGCUGGCUCAGUGGUUAAGUGCCCAUGGGUUCUACCUCUGGUACAAAAAAAAAAGUGAGGGCUGGGGUUGUGGCUCAAGUGGUAGAGCACUUGCCUAGCAUGUGCAAGGCACUGGGUUCUAUCCUCAGCACCACACAAAAAUAAAUAAAUAAAGGUACUGUGUCCAAUUACAACUAAAAAACAAGAUUUUUUUUUAAAAAGCAUGCCAAAUGAUACAGGAACUGUUAAAGCUCCAUCCUUGUCCCCAUGCCAAUCCAAUAACAAAGACAUGGUUUUGAGGAAAAGAAGUUUUAUUGUUUUCUAGUAAAGGAGAAGCACAGAGAACUCCUGUCCCAGAAGCUGUGAUUCUGCCCAUCAAGGGGAUCAGGAGGCUUUUAAGGAGAUGAUUCAAAAGCAUGUGUUCUCUGUUGGAGCUGUAAUUCACUUGUUAACUUGGGAGAUAGUCAUUUCUGAGAUCUUCUGGAACCAUCCCCAAAGUCUGAAUUACUUUGUUCCUGUGGUGUGUAUGUGUGUGCUCAAGGACAGGUAACUCUGCCUAGGAUGGAUUGCUAAUCCUGCUUCCCCCUGAGAUUAGGGAGAAGGAGCAAUUAGGGAGUAGCAGGGAGAGAAAGAGAAAGAAUGUGAGGAUGGUCUUGGGCCUGAGCCUAAGCAAUUCCAUUUUAAAAACUCCAGUUUGAAACCUGCAGUCUCACCACACUUGCCUAACAGAGCCCUCUAGUAUGGCUCCCCGGCACAAACAAGUCACUUCUCCCCGCCCUGAUAAACUCAGAGUGAAGCCUCUGGAAAGCUGGCCUCCUCGGAUAGGAGGGAAAGACCUGAGAAAAGGUAAAGGUGAAAAGAUCAGGGUGGGGACCACCAGGCCAGAUGUUUUAACCCCAGGGUAAAUGAUGUCCCUGAGAAAUCCCGUGGUAGCUGAUAAGGAUUGAAGAGGGGUCAAAAGCCCCAAAAUUUAGUAUAAAUAAUAGAGCAAAUGAACAGAUAUUCAGCCAGACGAAACUGAUGCCUACAAGCUGGAGAGCCUGAUGAGGACCUGGACUGACAUCCCAUCACCUGUCAUUCUUUGCUGAUCCCCUGCGUCUUCCUCACCGCUCUCCAACUCUACAGCCAUAUCUUGACCCUGGUGAGAGCAGCAACUUCUCCCUACAGCCCCCUCCUCAGCCAGCCGCCUGCUGCGUCCCAGGAGAAGCCUGCCUUGGUUCCUGACCUGAUCACCUCCGUCUGAGUGAGUGGGCAUCUGUGGACUUAGAGCCUAAGGCUGGAGACUUUAGACCUGGCACUUGAGCUUAAUUUGCAGAGGGAAUGUCUGUCAUUAGCCUGUCAUGAUUAAGUGUGUUUGCAGGCUUAGAAUUAAUUAAUCUAGGAUUGUUUGCUGUGAAUUAAUUAAUCUAGGAUUGUUUGCUGUGAAUUGAUUAUGUCCAUUGCAGUGCCCAGCAUUAAGGAUUGCCGUUUUCUUGAUUAAGAACCUACAGAGUGAAAUUGUAUUGAGCGAGUUGAGUGAAUAAAGCAUUGACUAGGGCAGAAGCGCGUGGACAUUCUUUAUUUCUCCCCCUGGACUGC